UCUUAAAAGUUCGGGGNUUAACCCCGUGAUGGGAUGGAAACUGCUGAUCUAGAGUAUNGGAGAGGAAAGUGGAAUUCCUAGUGUAGCGGUGAAAUGCGUAGAUAUUAGGAAGAACACCAGUGGCGAAGGCGACUUUCUGGACGAAAACUGACGCUGAGGCGCGAAAGCCAGGGGAGCGAACGGGAUUAGAUACCCCGGUAGUCCUGNCCGUAAACGAUGGGUACUAGGUGUAGGAGGUAUCGACCCNUUCUGUGCCGGAGUUAACGCAAUAAGUACCCCGCCUGGGGAGUACGACCGCAAGGUUGAAACUCAAAGGAAUUGACGGGGGCCCGCACAAGCGGUGGAGUAUGUGGUUUAAUUCGACGCAACGCGAAGAACCUUACCAGGUCUUGACAUUGAUGGACAGAACCAGAGAUGGUUCCCCUUCUUCGGAAGCCAGAAAACAGGUGGUGCACGGUUGUCGUCAGCUCGUGUCGUGAGAUGUUGGGUUAAGUCCNGCAACGAGCGCAACCCCUAUCUUAUGUUGCCAGCACGUAAAGGUGGGAACUCAUGAGAGACUGCCGCAGACAAUGCGGAGGAAGGCGGGGAUGACGUCAAAUCAUCAUGCCCCUUAUGACCUGGGCUACACACGUACUACAAUGGGAGUUAAUAGACGGAAGUGAGAUCGCGAGAUGGAGCAAACCCGAGAAACACUCUCUCAGUUCGGAUCGUAGGCUGCAACU
rnacentral:rRNA from 1 species